AGAGAUAGAGGCGUGCUCGAAAGAGAGCCGUAACACAGGUGCUGCAUGGCUGUCGUCAGCUCGUGUCGUGAGAUGUUGGGUUAAGUCCCGCAACGAGCGCAACCCUUGUCAUUAGUUGCUACAUUCAGUUGGGCACUCUAAUGAGACUGCCGGUGACAAGCCGGAGGAAGGUGGGGAUGACGUCAAGUCCUCAUGGCCCUUAUAGGUGGGGCUACACACGUCAUACAAUGGCUGGUACAAAGGGUUGCCAACCCGCGAGGGGGAGCUAAUCCCAUAAAGCCAGUCGUAGUCCGGAUCGUAGUCUGCAACUCGACUACGUGAAGUCGGAAUCGCUAGUAAUCGUGGAUCAGAAUGUCACGGUGAAUACGUUCCCGGGUCUU
rnacentral:rRNA from 1 species